rnacentral:rRNA from 1 species
UACGUAGGGGGCAAGCGUUAUCCGGAUUUACUGGGUGUAAAGGGAGCGUAGACGGCAGCGCAAGUCUGGAGUGAAAUGCCGGGGCUCAACCCCGGAACUGCUUUGGAAACUGUGCAGCUAGAGUGCGGGGGAGGUAAGCGGAAUUCCUAGUGUAGCGGUGAAAUGCGUAGAUAUUAGGAGGAACACCAGUGGCGAAGGCGGCUUACUGGACCGUAACUGACGUUGAGGCUCGAAAGCGUGGGGAGCAAACUGG